rnacentral:misc_RNA from 1 species
CUGAAAGUCAUGCGCUUAACUGCGCUGACAACAUACACACAGUGGAGAUAUAUUCUUUCUUCUUCUUCUUCUUUGGGGGACGGCGGUUUGCGCUGCUGCUCCCAGAGUGAAAAAACACAAACAACUUUUGUAUUAUUACAGAUGUCAAAACACAAAACAAAAUACCA